rnacentral:tRNA from 1 species
GAAAAUCCGUCGACGGGUUCAA